CCAUUUGAUAGUUUAAUCAAGCAUUUACAAGAAUAUCCAGGAGGUUCUCCCGUUAAUUAUGCCUUCGCAGCCUCUCCCACGCGCGGCAACUCCCGUUCCCACCGGGCGCUGCAGAUAAAGGCCAGAGGCUCCUGGACGACGCUGACGUUCACAUGCCCCAGGUUUCCGUACUUGGAGAGCUGAGUGGGUGGAAUGCCUGGCCCAGAUGGUAAAGAAUAGAAGUGGAAAAAGCGUUUAAUGAAUUUAAUUAUGUGUCACAGGUAAAAGAACAAAAACAAAAAAACACUUAUUGGAAGUAACGAACACAGUUACCAUAUUUCAAUACAGUAAAAAUCACUUUGUGAUAUGGGACAGGCACCUAUGCGGUAAAGCCAGACUUUGAAAGUAAUGGAAACAGCACAGUGCAGGACGGAUGGAGAAAAAAAGCACCAGGAGAGCCUCAGCAGGCACUGGAUUCCCUGGACAGACCCAAGGAAAAGCUGGGGGAGCAGAGAGCAGCCACUCUGCUGGUGGGAUCACUGGCCCACUACCCUUUGGGAAAUUGUGCCUCCCACACCCCCUUCACAGGCAGAGAGAGAGGGGGCAUAGGGAAGGGAAGGUAAAUUCUAAAAAAUAUUUUUAAAACACCAUCUGUAAACAUUUAAUGUCAAUGGAAUCAUACAUUAUGUGGUUCUUUUGUGACUGGCUUCUUCCACUUAGCUAGAUAUAAACAUAAUGUAUGAUUCUGUUGAUAAGAAAUGUCCAGAAAGGGCAAAUCUACUGCAACAGAAAGGUUAGUGGCUGCCAGGGGCUAAGGGCAAGAUUGGGGAAUGACGACAAAUGAACACCGGGGAUCUUUCUAAAACUAGAUGGUAGUAACGGUUGCACACCUGUGUACACUUACUAAAAACCUUGAAUUUUACAAAUAGGUGAAUUAUUUAGUAUGUGAAUUAUGUCAAUAAAAUAGUUUUAAGAAUCUUUUCCCUUCUUUUACCUAAGGUCUGUGCCAUCUGAGCUGGAGGAAAAAGGACUUGGAGACAGCGAUUUAAAUAAGGAACGAGGUCUUCCAGGAAGACAGUGCAGAACUGGACGAAGAGCUCUUGCUCCCCACUGCUGAAGGCAGCCUCUUCGGCACGAUGGAAGGCCAAGAUUACUUUUGUUACCUAAGAGACAAGGGCACCAUCAAUCACCAGUUUUAUUACUAGUGCAGUUUCCAGUUCCAGUGGAGGAGCAUCAUGAAAUUAUACACAGAAUACAUUGCUUUUGGCUCCCAUGGGAGAUGGACCAGAACUAUGGUGGAUCCAGGAAGAUGAAGCAACACUAUAAAAGGCUUCUACUGAGUAAGGCCUCUGAAGUUUCACAAUGCUAGAACCACUAGAAAAUUGUAAAGGAGGAAAAAAUAGAGCUGGAAAAGAAGUUCCACAUACAAAUAACAGCCUAGCUGACAUUACAGGCAGGGUCACAGUGACAGAGUUAAGAACAUAAACUCUGGGGAAUUCCCUGGCAGUCCAGUGGUUAGAGCUCUGUGCUUUCACUGCCGAGGGCCCAGGUUCAAUCUCUGGUCACAAGCCAAGAGGCACGGCCAAACAAACAAACAAAUAAAUAACGAACAUAGACUCUGGUGCCAGACGUUCUCGGCUCAAACUCCAGCUGUGCCACUCACUGGUUCUAUGGCCUCUAAGUGAUUACUUAAGCACCCCACGCCCUCUGUGCCUGAGUUCCCUCAUCUAUAAAGUAGGGCCAGCAACAGGACCUAACCUCACAGGGUUGUAGAAUUAAGUUUUAAUAUGUGUAAAGUAUGAUAAAUUACGUGGCAUGAAGUAAGCUCUAGAUGAAUAUUAGCUAAUUACUAUUAUCUGAAUUGCACUGACCCUAAAAAGCUUUGUUGCUCAUGCUUCCUUGCUCUUUUUUUUUUUUUUUUUUGCGGUACGCGGGCCUCUCACUGUUGUGGCCUCUCCCAUUGCGGAGCACAGACUCCGGACGCGCAGGCUCAGCAGC